AAGUCGUAACAAGGUUUCCGUAGGUGAACCUGCGGAAGGAUCAUUAUUGAAUUUAAUGUAGAGUUGGUUGUGGCUGGCCUAAUUAAUAAUUUGGGCAUGUGCACACCUUCUCUUUCAUCCACACACACCUGUGCACCUGUGAGACAGAGUGGGAAUUUUAAUUUAAUUUAAUUGGACCCUCUGUCUACUUAAUUCACACAAACUCUAUUUAUUAUAAAAUGAAUGUAAUUGAUGUAACGCAUCUAAUACUAAGUUUCAACAACGGAUCUCUUGGCUCUC
rnacentral:misc_RNA from 1 species